rnacentral:snoRNA from 2 species
UGGAUAUGAUGAUUGAUUACCUGAGAAAUAAUUGAUGAAAUAUCAAGAAAAAAAAUAUUCUAA